AAUUAGUAUAUUGCUUAAAUUAUUAUUUUUAAUAUUUUAAUUGAAAUAACUUUUUUUUUAGUAAGUUUUAUUGAAAUUACUGUUUUUAGCAAUAGUCAAAAAUUACUGUGAAGGAAUUAUUUAAAUUCUAUUUAAGUAGAUUUUUUUUAUUUUACCUUUUGUAUCAGGGUUUAUUAAUUUUAUGUCAAUUAUUUUGAUUUUCCCGAAAUUGAGAGAGAUAUACUUUAAUGUAAGUUUACGUGUUAAAGUAAUUUAUAAUUGAAGUAUAGAAGUUAAAUGCUAUUCAAUCUUAAAUAUCUGGUUUUCUAAUAAUUUAAUUUAAUUAAGGUUUUUAGUUUAGUCAAUUUAUAAUUAAAUUUUGUUUGAUACUAAUUUCUUAUUUUGUAGGGGAUAAGCUCUUCAAAAGUUUUAUAACCUGUUAAUUUUGAUUUUUUGUAGGCUUGAUAACAGCCAUCAUUUAUUUCGUUAUAGUUAACUUUCUUAUUUUAUUUAUUUAUUAUUGGUUUAAUUAUUUAUUAGAACUUUUUAUUUAACUUUUUAUUAUAAGUGAUAAUGAUAGAAUUAGUAGUUUUGUAUAUUUAAGUAUAGUAAUUCGGCAAAUUUGAUUCUCGCCUGUUUAACAAAAACAUGUCCUUUAGAGAAUUAGUUAAAGGUCUAACCUGCCCAGUGAUUUAUUAAACGGCCGCAGUACCCUGACUGUGCAAAGGUAGCAUAAUCAUUUGUCUUUUUAUUGAAGGCUGGAAUGAACGGUUGGACGAGGGAUUAGCUUUCUUUACUUAAAUUUAAUGAAUUUAAUUUUUUAGUUAAAAAGCUUAAAUUUUUUUGUAAGACGAGAAGACCCUAUAGAAUUUUACUUUUAGAUAUUUGUUUUUUAUUUUGGUGUUAAUUUAAUUUAUAAUUAUUUAAAAGUUUUGUUGGGGCGACAGUGAAAAUUAAUUAACUUUCAUUUUUUUUUAUUAUUCAUUAAUUAAUGUAUUUUUGAUCCCAAUUUUUGGAUUAAAAGUUUAAAUUACCUUAGGGAUAACAGCGUAAUUUUUUCGGAGAGUUCAUAUCGAUGAAUAAAGUUUGCGACCUCGAUGUUGGAUUAAAGUAAGUUCUUGGUGCAGAAGCUAAUGGGACUGAGUCUGUUCGACUCUUAAAUCUUUACAUGAUCUGAGUUCAGACCGGCGUGAGCCAGGUUGGUUUCUAUCUACAAAUUUUUAGAUUUUAUUCUAGUACGAAAGGACCGAAUAUAAGUAAUAUUUAUAUUUAAUUUGAUUAUUAUUAAA
rnacentral:rRNA from 1 species